rnacentral:rRNA from 1 species
AGUGAACGCUGGCGGUAGGCCUAACACAUGCAAGUCGAACGGCAGCACAGUAAGAGCUUGCUCUUACGGGUCGCGAGUGGCGGACGGGUGAGGAAUACAUCGGAAUCUACUUUUUCGUGGGGGAUAACGUAGGGAAACUUACGCUAAUACCGCAUACGACCUACGGGUGAAAGCAGUGGAUCUUCGGACCUUGCGCGAUUGAAUGAGCCGAUGUCGGAUUAGCUAGUUGGCGGGGUAAAGGCCCACCAAGGCGACGAUCCGUAGCUGGUCUGAGAGGAUGAUCAGCCACACUGGAACUGAGACACGGUCCAGACUCCUACGGGAGGCAGCAGUGGGGAAUAUUGGACAAUGGGCGCAAGCCUGAUCCAGCCAUACCGCGUGGGUGAAGAAGGCCUUCGGGUUGUAAAGCCCUGUUGUUGGGAAAGAAAAGCAGCAGGUUAAUACCCCGCUGUUCUGACGGUACCAAAAGAAGAAGCACCGGCUAACUUCGUG